AAGUCGAGCGAACAGACGAGGAGCUUGCUCCUCUGACGUUAGCGGCGGACGGGUGAGUAACACGUGGAUAACCUACCUAUAAGACUGGGAUAACUUCGGGAAACCGGAGCUAAUACCGGAUAAUAUAUUGAACCGCAUGGUUCAAUAAGUGAAAGACGGUUUUGCUGUCACUUAUAGAUGGAUCCGCGCCGCAUUAGCUAGUUGGUAAGGUAACGGCUUACCAAGGCAACGAUGCGUAGCCGACCUGAGAGGGUGAUCGGCCACACUGGAACUGAGACACGGUCCAGACUCCUACGGGAGGCAGCAGUAGGGAAUCUUCCGCAAUGGGCGAAAGCCUGACGGAGCAACGCCGCGUGAGUGAUGAAGAUCUUCGGAUUGUAAAACUCUGUUAUUAGGGAAGAACAAAUGUGUAAGUAACUAUGCACGUCUUGACGGUACCUAAUCAGAAAGCCACGGCUAACUACGUGCCAGCAGCCGCGGUAAUACGUAGGUGGCAAGCGUUAUCCGGAAUUAUUGGGCGUAAAGCGCGCGUAGGCGGUUUUUUAAGUCUGAUGUGAAAGCCCACGGCUCAACCGUGGAGGGUCAUUGGAAACUGGAAAACUUGAGUACAGAAGAGGAAAGUGGAAUUCCAUGUGUAGCGGUGAAAUGCGCAGAGAUAUGGAGGAACACCAGUGGCGAAGGCGACUUUCUGGUCUGUAACUGACGCUGAUGUGCGAAAGCGUGGGGAUCAAACAGGAUUA
rnacentral:rRNA from 1 species